rnacentral:lncRNA from 1 species
GUGUGCGUGUGUAUAUACGAUCGAUCAGGGGCAGAGGGGGAGGUGAAACCCUAGUUUCACCAAAAUCCAUCAAAUUGAAGGGGGAUUGAAGGGCUAAACUAAUGCAUGAACCAAGAUUGUCGAUCACCUUAGUGUUUCUACCAUCAUUUUAGGAUCAUGUUUAAAGGGGAAAGCAUGGAAGGCAAACGGAAAAGGGAUGAUGAAGCAUGUACGAAACGGACACUCGAGAUAUGUAGGUGCGUAUGAUCAGACGUAUGAAUAUAUGAAUGCACGAAGUAGGAUUUAUCGUCUAUGAAAAGAAUGGGACAGGAAUGAGAACACCAGACUCUUGUAGAAUUGAAGCCAAACCUUGAAGCCGAACUCGGAACAAAGGAAUCCGAGAGGAUAGUCGAAUGAAUCAAAGUUUAUGUUGUCGAAUGUUAUAUGAUUUUUAAUUUGUAUCAGAUUAUUGUUGUAUGACGUUGUCAAUGACUAAUGGUUAAGUUGUAUGUGGUGUCCACAGGUACUACACGGAUUUCUUCUACCACUAUCGAAGAUAAGCGGGCAUAGAUCGAGUCGAAUAACAAGGGUUGUACGGAAAGAACGGUUACGUGGUCUUAAUUUUGUAACGCGUUAACCUUUAAAAAGGGAAGUGAAUUUUGUAAGCUUCUUCUUGAAUGUGUGUAUUGUUAUAAGACCAUAAAGAAAUUUUUAAAGCUAUUUUUCCGCUGCGUUAUCUUUAAGUUCUUACACGACGAUCUUACAGGGAAUUGUUCUUAUUACGAACGGGUCAUGCCCGAAUUUUUCUUAAAUAAUAGUAUGGUAAUAUUACUUUUCGGACUAAGAAAUAUGGGCGUUACAUUAACUUCGUACGAGCCUACCCUUGACAUGUAUAGCGUUAUAGUAAUAACGCACCGCCUGUGAACGUUGGGUCAUGUUAAGACGUUAUUUACGUUAAACUUUGGGUUGACUAGUUUGUUCACAUGCCAAUUUAUUGUUUAUCUUGUUAACUAGUUUGCCAUGAGGAUUCGUUUAAAAUUUACUUCCUUGUGUUAUGUAACAAAUACUUGUAUACUCGCCAAUGCCUUGUGUGUUGAUCUAUACUUUAUAACAUGUUGCAGGAUGAUGCUGAUGAUUUAAAUGGGCUUAGUGACAAGGCUUUAGAUACACAUCGAGACAUCUUAGAUUUAAAUGUUGUAUCAAUUUUGUACUAUGUUAUUUGUAUCAUUUGUUGUAUUUGACUUUCUUGUAUUGUAAUCCGACUUUUGGAAAUGAAAUUAGUUUAUGUUAAUU